rnacentral:misc_RNA from 1 species
AGCAUAUACACACACACACGCAAACGCACACGUGACUCCUCCUCGCGCUUCUUCCCCCACUCCUUUCCCUCGCCCUCCAUCUUUCCGUCACCUGUGCGAGAACACAAGGAAAAGCCCUCUCUUUUUGUUGUUCUUUUCUCGGCUGUGUUUUGCAUAAAAUUUCUUUGCUCUGCCUCGGACUGCUGUGCCAUCGGCCCACUCCCCCCACCCUCCCUUCGGCCGCUCUCUACUUGCUUCUCUCUCUUCGGAUAUUUUUAUCUUCUUGGUGGUAGUUGCCGCGUCGUGGAGUCAAAAUCAAACGAGCAAAGAAACGAGUGAUUUCGUCUUCUACCGCCAUUUUUUUUCUCGUUUGUUUGUUCGGUUCUCUUCACCUCUCCCCCCUCCUCCCUCACCAUUCUGGUCUUCAUUUUUUGGCUUUUGUCGGAGCCUCACUUUUUUUUUGUACUUUCGUGGGGAUUUUGCUUGCUCUUCCUCACGCCCGUGUCUCCCCCCUUCUUCGCAGAGAAACAACGGCGUCGCAGAGUUCGCAUCGAUAACGAGGUAAAACGAACACGCGCACGUCCGCACCGGUCUCCGUAGUUCUCAAAGAGAGGAUUUCGCCUAAUCAGAAGUCACGGUGUGGUCUCUCUCCCUUCUGAUUGCUAUCCUCUUCGCCGUCAGUUAUCCCACAUUCUCUUUUGGCGUCCUUGUUGCCCUUCGUUACGCCUACCCUAUCUUGUUUUCUGUUUGUGUGUUUGUUCGCGUUAGGAGGAUCUGCUUUUGGUCCCCCUGUUCGUCUCCGGUGCCAUAUAUAUUUAUAUAUUCUUGUGUACUAUACGCGCCUCUUUUUAGUUGGAACUUUAAUUUCGAGGGCGCACUCAUCUUGUAGAGCAACAUGCUGCGCAACGCACUCUCGUGCUUCGUGGCACAGCUUGAGCUGGCUCGCUUAACGGGAACAUUGCCUUCCAGCUUCGACUACGAGGAGCUGGUGGCGAUGGUUCAGCAGAGGUUGCAAGGCGCCCCUGGGAAGACGUUGGGUGUGUUUGAGCUCCUCCAGGCGAAGGAGAUUCAUCUUCCCGAGCCCGACAAUCCAAACUAUGCCGUCGCGUCCAUGUUGGCGCCCCUCACCGUGUUCCUCUUCGACAUUGAAGGAACGACCACCCCACUUCCUUUUGUGCAGAAAGUCAUGAUGCCCCUUGCGGAAUCCCGCGUCGAGGCCUACAUGGCGGCGCACUUCCCUGCCGAUCAGGCGUUUGUGGACCUGCUCACUGCCGUGGCCGAGCCGCAGUCUUCCCCACUGGCCAAAGCGCCGACGGCCUACUCGAAGGCAUUCACGGACGCACUUGCGGCGAGUGGGGCGCGCGACUGGAAAGAUGAAGCGGCGAACGAAGUGGCGCGUAGUGAAUUCUGCGCGUUUUUUCAUCACGAGAUAAAGAGAGGCUCCGAUCACGCCGCGGUGAAGGCGGUCCAGGCCGCUAUCUGGACAGAGGUGUUUGCAGAGGGCAAGCUGCAGUCGCAGGUGUUUCCUGAUGUGAGUACGUUUUUCCGCUUCGCCGGCGGCCCGGCCAUGGCCGAGAGGACACGCAUCGCUCUCUACAGCUCGGGCAGCAUCGCAGCCCAGAAGCUCGUCAUGGGCCAUACCCCGUAUGGCGAUUUAAACCCGUUCAUUACGGCGUAUUUCGACCCCUUGCUUGUCGGCACAAAGCUGAUGCCGAAGAGCUACAUGAAAAUCCGCACUCUUCUGGCGGAGAAGCUGGAUAUACCGCAGGAGAGCAUGCACAUCGUCUUCGUGACGGACAACACCAGUGAGGCCUCCGCAGCCGAGACCUCUGGAGCGGUGGAAAGCGCCAUCCUGUGCGUGCGCCCGCUAAACGACUGGAUCACGUUUGACACCAUGCUUUCGAUUAACGUGCCGUACAUCAUGUCCUUUACCCAGCUCAUGCAGCGCAACUGUGACGUGGACAUGGCGAAGCUCGUCAGCGACACCAAGGAAUGCAUGAAGCAGCACAACACAUCCUGAUGAAGGGCGGCAACGAGGCAAUCAUAGAAGGAAAACCUGUCUUGGUGGGGAAGUAAGGGAAAACAGCGCGGUGGAUGGUGGGGAGCGUGAUGCGCUGUGCCCUCUGCAUGCAGACGAUGCCACCUCCCUUCUUCCUCUCCCUGCCUCUUCUGAGAGCGUGCCUCCCCGCACACCUUCACGCGACUCAUGCACUUUGACUGAUCAG